rnacentral:rRNA from 1 species
UGAUUUUACCCCCCCAACCAAGAAUUCCACCUACCUCUCCCACACUCUAGAAUAGUAGUUUCAAAUGCAGUUCUAUGGUUAAGCCAUAGGAUUUCACACCUGACUGACUAUCCCGCCUACGCGCUCUUUACGCCCAGUGAUUCCGAGUAACGCUUGCACCCUCCGUAUUACCGCGGCUGCUGGCACGGAGUUAGCCGGUGCUUAUUCGUUAGAUACCGUCAUUAUCUUCUCUAACAAAAGGAGUUUACAAUCCUAAAACCUUCAUCCUCCACGCGGCGUUGCUGCUUCAGGGUUUCCCCCAUUGAGCAAUAUUCCCUACUGCUGCCUCCCGUAGGAGUCUGGACCGUGUCUCAGUUCCAGUGUGUCCGUUCACCCUCUCAGGCCGGAUACCCGGUCAUAGCA